AGCGAACGCUGGCGGCAGGCCUAACACAUGCAAGUCGAACGAAGCCUUCGGGCUUAGUGGCGGACGGGUGAGUAACACGUGGGAACGUACCUUUUGGUUCGGAACAACUCAGGGAAACUUGAGCUAAUACCGGAUGAGCCCUUAGGGGGAAAGAUUUAUCGCCGAAAGAGCGGCCCGCGUUAGAUUAGCUAGUUGGUGAGGUAAAGGCUCACCAAGGCAACGAUCUAUAGCUGGUCUGAGAGGAUGAUCAGCCACACUGGGACUGAGACACGGCCCAGACUCCUACGGGAGGCAGCAGUGGGGAAUCUUGCGCAAUGGGCGAAAGCCUGACGCAGCCAUGCCGCGUGAAUGAUGAAGGUCUUAGGAUUGUAAAAUUCUUUUACCAGGGACGAUAAUGACGGUACCUGGAGAAAAAGCCCCGGCUAACUUCGUGCCAGCAGCCGCCGUAA
rnacentral:rRNA from 1 species